rnacentral:lncRNA from 1 species
CUGCCUGACUUUAGGCUAUGCAUAAGGUAUAUGUACAAUUCAGAGAACGGAAUUCAUGAACAGUCAUCCUCAGGAACAGAUGAAAAGCCCGAUAGACAUUGGGCAUCAAGUAGGAUUGUGGCAAAGCAAUGGCAGUGUGGUUGGGUCUGACAACCAACAACAUUGUGAUGCUUUGACAGAAUAAGAACUUACAUGUGGUGUCAAUCAUCCCUUGGGUGUCACUUCAAAUUCAUCUCUUCUCAGGAGGACAUCCAUCCCCAUUGGCAUCCAAAAUACAGCUAUCAAUGUCACAAAGCCAAGGACAGAAAACAUUGGAAGUAGCAGAGUGUAGGAUGUGUUGCCCGAGUGUAACACGGGAGAAAUAUGGCUCUGAGACAGCGUGUUAUCUCUACCCCAGAGGAAAUAAUUCAUAAAUGUGGACUAACAAGAGAGCAGUGAAUGGUACUGAGAGGGUCACUGGAGCCCUGACUUUGGUUAUCUUUCUUUCAGAGAUUGGAGAGACAGAUUAAAAAGAGUGCCUGAAUUGCUGCAUUAUGAACUGAUCUUCCACCGCUGGCCUCACGGGACCUUUGCCGUUAACUUCAAUCUGGGACCAGUUCUUUUACACCAGUUGUUGUACCACAGCACAGUGUGCUACCGUUGGAGUUCCCUCCACAGGAGAAAAAAUCUUGGAUACUUUGGGAUUGCUCCCUCACAUACUCUAGACUCGCUCAGACCUCAGUAGGAGAUUGCAUGUGUAACUGGGCUCUGCAGGCUUCUGAAAUACCUUAUCAUCUUUUGGCCUGGUCCUACCUGAUGCCGAGGAUGCUUAGCUCCCAUUGGCUUCAACAGAAGUUGUGGGUGCUUGUCAUCUCUCAGGAUUAAUCCCUCUCUUCUUGCUAGGUUAAAAACUAUAAGGCUAUCCCAGAAUGCAGAGAUGAUGUCAGUAUGUGGGGAUUAUGCACAUCUGAUUUAGUCUAGAUUGUUUAUCUUUUAAACACCAUUAACCACAAAUUAGCUGGCUCUUCUGUGGCCAUAAAUUAAUAGAUUCCAUUAGUGAACAGUCAAUUAAAGGAUGAUUAUUUUUUCUCUACCUCAUGUUUUCAGUGAUUUGUGUUCAUGGUGGAUUUCUUUUGUCCAUAACGCUGACAAGAAUGAAGAGCAUCGAGAGCUGAACUGAUGGCUGUUCAAACACUGGUGAUGAAUCCAAAUAAACACGUCUACUUUGAAAGGGCUCCUUUACA